rnacentral:rRNA from 1 species
GAGACCCCAGGUCAGACGGGACUACC